rnacentral:lncRNA from 1 species
CUCUCCAACGGCUCUCUCCCCCUCUCUCCCCCUCUCUCUCUCGCCCGACCCUCUCCCCACCCCCAGCUUACCGGCCCCGGUUCCCGGCGCCGUCGCCGACCCGAUCCGGCCGCCGGCUCCGACCGACGGUCGCCGGCGCUGAUCAGAUCGCCGGCUACGGCCUCCGGUCGCCGGUUCUCCUUCUCCCUCUCUCUCUCUCU